GACUUCCUGUUUUCAUGGAGGAGACAUAAUAGUGGAUUAUAUUUGUUUCUGAAUGUCCAGAAAUCAUUUUGAAGCUAAGAGUUGAGCGGAACUGCUGAUGAAUAAUGACUUGCUUCUUCUCAACCUGUAUGCCUUUGAGGGAUGUGUUGCUACUGCUUGCAAACGAAGGCAUUGUUUCAUUGUUGCUAGUAAUGGUUGUUUCUGGUGUUUGUUUCUAUUACAAUGGAUGUAUUAUCUUAACUUCUCUUGUUGGUAGUAAAGAAUAGGCGAUUGGUAGUUGGAACUUUCAUGUUUGGUUUAUCCUAGAUUCUACAGCUUUGUAUAUUAUUGGUGGUGAAAUUUUACUUUCCAGGAAAAAUGUGUCAUUAACUAACAUAACUGUCAUCCAUAUUACUAAUAAUGUUAUCUUUGUUUGUGUGCAGCAUUUAAUAUAUAAGCUUG
rnacentral:lncRNA from 1 species